GACGAACGCUGGCGGCGUGCCUAAUACAUGCAAGUCGAGCGGAGUUAUUCCUUCGGGGAUAACUUAGCGGCGGACGGGUGAGUAACACGUAGGCAACCUGCCUGUAAGAUCGGGAUAACUACCGGAAACGGUAGCUAAGACCGGAUAAUCAACUUGGUCGCAUGAUCGAGUUGGGAAAAGCGGAGUAAUCUGCUGCUUACAGAUGGGCCUGCGGCGCAUUAGCUAGUUGGUGGGGUAACGGCUCACCAAGGCGACGAUGCGUAGCCGACCUGAGAGGGUGAACGGCCACACUGGGACUGAGACACGGCCCAGACUCCUACGGGAGGCAGCAGUAGGGAAUCUUCCGCAAUGGACGCAAGUCUGACGGAGCAACGCCGCGUGAGUGAUGAAGGUUUUCGGAUCGUAAAGCUCUGUUGCCAGGGAAGAACGCUUGGGAGAGUAACUGCUCUUAAGGUGACGGUACCUGAGAAGAAAGCCCCGGCUAACUACGUGCCAGCAGCCGCCGUAAGAC
rnacentral:rRNA from 1 species